rnacentral:rRNA from 1 species
UACGGAAGGCAGCAGUGGGGAAUAUUGCACAAUGGGCGCAAGCCUGAUGCAGCCAUGCCGCGUGUAUGAAGAAGGCCUUCGGGUUGUAAAGUACUUUCAGUCGUGAGGAAGGUGUUAAGGUUAAUAACCUUAGCAAUUGACGUUAGCGACAGAAGAAGCACCGGCUAACUCCGUGCCAGCAGCCGCGGUAAUACGGAGGGUGCGAGCGUUAAUCGGAAUUACUGGGCGUAAAGGGCACGCAGGCGGUUAAUUAAGUUGGAUGUGAAAUCCCCGGGCUUAACCUGGGAAUGGCAUUCAAGCUGGUUAGCUAGAGUCUUGUAGAGGGGGUAGAAUUCCAUGUGUAGCGGUGAAAUGCGUAGAGAUGUGGAGGAAUACCGGUGGCGAAGGCGGCCCCUGGACAAAGGCUGACGCUCAUGUGCGAAAGCGUGGGGAGCGAAAC